UACGUAGGGUGCAAGCAUUAAUCGGAUUUAUUGGGCGUAAAGGGCGCGUAGGCGGGAUGAUAAGUCAGAUGUGAAAGCCCGGGGCUCAACCCCGGAACAGCAUUUGAAACUGUCAUUCUAGAGGGUAGGCGGAGAAAAUGGAAUUCCACAAGUAGCGGUGAAAUGCGUAGAUAUGUGGAAGAACACCAGUGGCGAAGGCGGUUUUCUAGCUUAUACCUGACGCUGAGGCGCGAAAGCAAGGGGAGCAAACAGG
rnacentral:rRNA from 1 species